rnacentral:rRNA from 1 species
CAAUAGCGUAUAUUAAAGUUGUUGCGGUUAAAAAGCUCGUAGUUGGAUUUCUGUUGAGGACGGCCGGUCCGUACUUUGUACGUGUAUCUGGUUCGGCCUUGGCAUCCUCAUGUGGAACGUCGUUGUGCUUGAUUGCAUGAUACGGUACGCAUGACUUUUACUUUGAGGAAAUUGGAGUGUUCACGGCAGGCAACCGCCUUGUACAUAUUAGCAUGGAAUAAUAAUAUAGGACGUUACGCCUAUUUUGUUGGUUUCUAGGUAUAACGUAAUGAUUAAUAGGGUCAAUUGGGGGUAUUCGUAUUAACACGUCAGAGGUGAAAUUCUUGGAUUGUGUUACGACGAACUACUGCGAAAGCAUUUACCAAGGAUGUUUUCAUUGAUCAAGAACGAAAGUAUGGGGAUCGAAGACGAUUAGAUACCAU